rnacentral:lncRNA from 1 species
CUGGUUCACAGUCCAGCUCUGCCAUCCCUAGCAUGAUACCUGGUGAGGAGAAUAGGGCAAAGGACUUAAAUGACUUGCCCAGCAUCGUGACACUGUUGUGUGUGGACGGCAGAACUCAAGCCAGGAUUUCAAACUUCAAACAUCCCCUACCAUCCUACCUGGGGGUCCUCAGGGUCAGUGCUUCCUAUGUGCCAGUUAUUGGAGUGACACCUUCAAAAGUUUUGCCAUUUCCACAUACC